rnacentral:lncRNA from 1 species
CACCAAAUUUUAACAUGGAGUAAAAGGAUACAGAUGGUACUCAAGUACCAAUUUCCCCUUAUCACCACUUGAUCCGAACUCGUUGACCCUCCGCCAACAUUUGAAAGUGACCACGACCGUAGACUCAACUUUAUCCCAUAUUCCGUCCACCAUACACACCCCUUAUCGGGCCCGAACACCUCACAGUAACAGUAAGGGGUAAUACUC